UUACAGUGGUAUCAGUCUGUGCCACUAAGAGACUGUCCCAACAGUCCUCAGCUACUUGAAUGCUAGCAGAUAAUUGGGUUCAUCCAAGGUUGGCAAGCAUUGAAAAGACGGAGGAACCAGAGAGUUUGAGCUACUGAAAAGGAGGUUAUUGAAAUGAUGUGCCAUGGCAGUCUUUUCUUUUUUAACAAAGGAGAAAAGAGGCAAAACUCAAAAGCCAAGUCUGACGCUUAGAAGACAUUCGCUACCUUCCCUGAGCCCUGAGCCUCUGAAGCCAGUUCGGUGACAAUGCAGGCGGCAUCCGUUCUUUCUGGUCCAGCACUGGAGGAAGUGGGCACAGGGCUGCCCUCCUCUUCACUCGACAGGUGGCUGCACCCUACAUCGGAGCUCAGGGCUGAAGGUGGAAAGGAGCAAACCAGAGGCAGGACCACCCCGCUGCUUCCUCCGGACCAGAGAUUCCAGGGUGGCCCCGCAUGGGGGCAAACCCCUCCCCAACUCUCCUGGCUCUCUCAGGCGGCCAGGUCCCUCAGGGUCCACCUUCUCCAUGAGACACCAACUUCUGCUGAACUGGAGAGGACAGGACCAUGUGGGCCCAGCACCAGCAAAGCCUCCCGGGGCCCUAGCCUGCGUGGGUGCUACAGAAAGGGCUCAGGGCAGAAAGAAUGAGGAGCGAGACCCAGUGGCUGCCGCCGCCCAGAACCAUCAAGGGCGAUUCUGGCCCAACUUCAUCCUCUCUCCCAGCCCCACGUACCUUUGAAUCUCCAGGAACCACCCUAAGCUCUGGGAGCUCUCCCAGCAUGUGGCAAAUCUAGCUUCUGCUUCAGCCAGACGGCCCAGCCAGUCUCCCUGUCCAGAAGAACGUGAUUUCUCAGGAGUGUCAAGUUCUUGGCUUCAUCCAUCCCUUUCCUGCAGGGCCCCUUCCACGCUACCCCAUCCACAUCCUGCUCAGAAAAAUCACACAAUCCAUGGCGACAACACUUAGGAUAUUGAAGUCACCAGUGUAACAAGUUUCCAUCUGUCUGCGUCUGCAGCCGCAGCAUUCAUGCCACUGUAGCUGUGCCUGCUAUUUACUUAUUGAACUACUUCAUUAUAAAUGACUUCCCUUGUAGUCUCCCUUAUAUUACAUGUAGGGCAUUAUAUUGAUUUUUUAUUAUGUAUAUAGGCAGGUUAUAUUAUCUAUAAAUGUAAUACCAAGAUAGUCAAGAUGGCAUUACAAAAUAUUUGUCAUGUAGAGGGGGACUGUGGCUGAUGAUGCUGAAAAACCCUGGCGGAGCAGAGAGCGCUUCAGACUGGCACUUGGCCUCUGCUCAGCGUGUUUGGUGGACAAUACAUUGGUCUCCAGGGGCAUUGAUUUCUUCUCCAUGGAAUCAAGAGGUCAAAUGCGAUAAUCCCUGGAGUGUUUUAUGGCUCUGCCACCCUGAGGUAUGAUUUAUAAGGGUAUUACCUGCUUUGGUUUUUGUGGGCUUCCCCUAAGGAUCCUCCUCUGUUGUUCGAACCCACCUAAGACUGGCAGGCAUGUGCGUGCCCACCUGAGUUAGAUUCCACUCCAAAAUCAUAUUCCCAUCAGGGGCCCAAUGGCCGCCUUCAUGGCCCACCUGGACCUCUUGGCCGGUUGCAGGUGUCUGCCUGCACCUAGACCUGUCCUGGGUCCCUGUGUGCUUCCUGACCCUCAUCCUACUUGCUGUAUCUUGCCUCCAGGGUGGCAGCUUCCUGGAAACCUUGGACACCCCUGUCUCUGUUCCUCCCGAUAACCCCUCUGAUCCUACUCCUGGACCCAACUGUCAGAAAAGACAAGAGCUGAGGCCCAGGCCCCACGGCAGGAGCUGGACGUCUUUCCUUGGAGGGCAGGAGGUUUGCAAGGCAGCCUGAUUCUCUGGGAUUGGGGUGGAGAGUUCUUUUGAUCCCUGGGAAAUGGGAAGUUUGGGUCACUAUAUUCAGGUUUAUGGGACAGUUUCAUAGAAAACAGAAUGAAGUUCUCCUGCAUCCUACUACGUGGAUGAAUCUUGAAAACAUGAUGCUAAGUGGUCUCUGUCUAUAUGCCGCGUCCACAGCAGGCAAAGCCAUCAAGAUUAGUGGUUGCCAAGGGCUGGGAGGUAGGAGGGAGGGAGACUUAGCAUUGCCCAGCAACAGGUGCUGCUUUUGGGGGAGGGAGGAGGACAGAACUAUUUCUGGAACUAGACAGUGGUGAUGGUUACCCCACAUUGUAAAUACUGAAACCCAAUGAAUUGUACACUUUAAAAUUGUGUUGCAUAUGAAUUUUAUCC